GACAGAGGUGCCGGGCGUUAGGCGGAAUCACUGGGCUUAAAGCGUGUGUAGGCGGACGGGUAAGUACCUUGUGAAAUCCCACGGCUCAACCGUGGAACUGCUGGGUAUACUGCCUGUCUUGAGUCAUUUAGGGGCGAGCGGAACAAAUGGUGGAGCGGUGAAAUGCGUAGAUAUCAUUUGGAACGCCAAUGGUGAAAACAGCUCGCUGGGGAUGUACUGACGCUGAGACACGAAAGCGUGGGGAGCAAACAGG
rnacentral:rRNA from 1 species